GUUUGAGUUUGAAUCUCAAUGUAGCCCUAGCUAGGUUGUGUUUGCAGCAACGGAAACCUUUUACGAGAUUACUGUUUCCUCAAUAUGUCUACACUGAGAUUUGAACCAGAGAGCAUUAAGUUAUUGGUAUACAGAAGAGGCGCUAUACAAAAGCACAAGAAUAUAUUUUUUGAGUCACAUCUUAAAAUAGAGCUGACACCAAAACUAACGAGAUAUAAAAGUAAUGGAACCUAAACUAUGACUUAUUUUUAAACCUGUUUCAAUAGUUCUGGACUAAGAGAGCACUCUUGACUCGAUGAGUCUCUCUUCAGGUCGUUCAGACAUGUUGCGGAAUCAAGGUUGAAAAACACAAAAAUUUGGAUGACCAUUUCCUUUGUCAUAAAAAACCUUGUGUUCCAAACAUCUACUCAAAAAGAAAAAAAAUCUUAAAAUGCCAAAUAUUAUUGAUUUUACAAAUCGAUUGAGCUACAAGAAUUCCGAAGAUACGAUACGUGACAUGAUCAAACUGUUAUCUGACGCAACAGUUGACUAUGAUCUUUCUUUCAAUGCAGAGCUAACAAUAUCGUCUGUUUUAGAAAAGCAGAUCCAAGAAAUUGUAUCAAAGCAUGGCGCCAACAUUAAUGUAGCUAUUGAAAUCAAUGGUCGGAUGCAUACUCUGCUGUCUGUUGUAUUAAAUAACUACUUCCCUGCGUACCCUGACUCACAGAAACUCGCGGAAUGGCUCCUGGAUCACGGGGCAUCUAUAGAGCAUACACAUCCAUCUGCUUUGCACAAGGCAAUUCUAAUGAGAUGUUGGAGUUUAGCUGUGAAACUCUACAUUGUAGGUCUUCAACCAGUGGACAUACAAGUUCCCUUGUUUGGAGCGUUAUCCCCUUUGAAGACCGCUCUAUUGAUGAACCACGACAAACUUGCCCAGCAUUUUGUAAAAAACAACUUUUUAACUACAACGGACAUUUCUGAUUGUAGGUCUAACACGUUAGGAGAACUACUUCUUCGUUAUCAUGUUCAAGUAGACGUGAGCAGUUGGAAAGAUAUUCAAUUCUCUCCUGAUUCUCUCAGGCAUAUCACAAAACAAUCCAUUUUAGCCAAUAUUAGCUUACAUAAUAGUGAACUACAUAGACUGCCUAAACCUAUCAGGGAUGAGUUAGAAUGGGACUCACAAGACAAAAAUUUCAGUUACUUACAGCAGACAGAAGAAGAUUUCACACUGGCAGACAUUAUUAUCGUAGAACUAUACAAAAGUGUUAAAUGCAGGAUAUGGCGUAACCCAAUAUUGUAAACAUAAGAAAUUUGACAUAGACAUAGACUCUGGUUUAUCUAGUACAUAGGAACUGUUUUGUUAUGCGUUGGAAGAUUCCUGGAUGACCUUUAUUUUGUACAUUCUACUUUGUAAGGUAACUAUUCUUUGUACAUUCUACUUUGUAAGGUAACUAUUCUUUGUACAUUCUACUUUGUAAGGUAACUAAUCUUUGUACAUUCUACUUUGUAAGGUAACUAAUCUUUGUACAUUCUUCUUUGUAAGGUAAAUAAUCUUUGUACAUUCUACUUUGUAAGGUAACUAAUCUUUGUACAUUCUACUUUGUAAGGUAACUAAUCUUUGUACAUUUUACUUUGUAAGGUAACUAAUCUUUGUACAUUCUACUUUGUAAGAUAACUAUACUUUGUACAUUCUACUUUGUAAGAUAACUAUACUUUGUACAUUCUACUUUGUAAGGUAACUAUACUUUGUACAUUCUUCUUUGUAAGGUAACUAUACUUUGUACAUUCUACUUUGUAAGAUAACUAUACUUUGUACAUUCUACUUUGUAAGAUAACUAUACUUUGUACAUUCUACUUUGUAAGAUAACUAUACUCUGAACAUUUGUAACCUGUAAACUAAAUACAUAUUGAACAUUUUCUGCAAAAUUAAUAUUGCAUUAAAUAAAAAGAAAAACACUUUUUAAUACAAUAAUCA
rnacentral:sRNA from 1 species